rnacentral:lncRNA from 1 species
CUGUAUUCCCAUCCCCCGUAAAGUAUCCUAUCCAUCCUAUGUAUAUAUAUAGAUAUAUUGUCACGCCCCGGAUUGCACUUUCCCCGGGCACGCCGACAAAUCCGCCGUAUACAAGGAAUUUCCCCUGUAUACGAAGCGACAGCAGUACCUGUAAACCAUACAAUACUACAAACAGUAAUAUAGAGCUGCUAGAGUAACCAGAAGCUAAACAAACAGAGUUCCAUAUACAUAGACCAAAACCAAAAUACAGAAUUACUCGCACUGGCGAGUUAAGUAUACUAUGUACAUGAACUCAAAACAAAACAUCUACCUGCAGUAGGAGCACCUCUAGCUCAGUACGUCGGGUAGGGCUCUAACUCGCGACGCCCUUGCCUCGAUCCUGAUCCGCGGAAGGCGCAGCAGCCGAAACCUGUGGCUCUGCAAAACAGGGGUAACAACUAGGCGUGAGAACUACUGUAAAAACAGGUAGUCCUCAGUGGGUGCCGCCCUCAACAACAUCGGUCCACCCACUAAGUCUACAGAGGGGAGCCAGAAUAGUAGGAAAAUGCAGGAAAUAAACUCAACCGCUACAAAUCACUACACUAUCAUGCUGGACACUAACCAACUGUAGGAAAUGUCAAAUCUGACCCAAUCCAAUCGAGACUGUAAGCAUACCCGUCCCUGGGACUGUGAACACACCCGUCCCUGCCCAGUUGUGACUAUCCAACUACCUCCACACUACAAGUCCGUGGAGAGCAAGUCCAACCGGCAUGAGCGACACCAACGCGAAAGCACAAAGCCCGUCUCCGAAGUGGCACUCGUGGGCGCUACCCAACCGAGUAUGCAGCGUCUCUCUAUCGAGCUCAAUCAGGCUCUGUCAACCCAAAGUCCAAGUAACAGACUCUAACUGGUCUAACAACCAACAAGUAACGUGCCCUCGGCACAAUCUGACGCCAAAGCGGCGAACCAGGCCCACCGUCAACCCCAACGGCGCCCCAGAGUCCGAAACAGCCCAAACGACCCUGUAAAAAUCCACUCGGCGUACCAGCACGAGCGUAAAUGUAUUCGAAACUACCUGUAGUACUCGUCUCGAGGAUACUGCGACAGUACAAUUUUAUAACGACUCAUAGAGCUAAAUCAGGCAGUUUAAACAAGUGACAGGUCCAAAUCGCAGGGUUUCUCCUAAUUCAAAAUCCAAAUCCAACAUGUAUAACCUACUCAAUUUAUUACAACAUGCUCUAAAUUCAUAUUUGCAAUCUACCAUAUAAUCCAUGAAUUCGAGCUAGAAUAGUUUAUCCAAAAUCGAAAUCUAUACAUGUCGACGAUUAUGAACUUAGGAGUAAAACCGAUGUAAACCCACCUCAAAGCUAAUCCCUGGCA